rnacentral:rRNA from 1 species
UACGUAGGGGUGCAAGCGUUGUCCGGAAUUAUUGGGCGUAAAGAGCUCGUAGGCGGUCUGUCGCGUCGGCUGUGAAACCCGGGGCUCAACCCGGGCCUGCAGUCGAUACGGGCAGACUAGAGUGCGGUAGGGGAGACUGGAAUCCUGGUGUAGCGGUGAAAUGCGCAGAUAUCAGGAGGAACACCGGUGGCGAAGGCGGGUCUCUGGGCCGUAACUGACGCUGAGGAGCGAAAGCGUGGGGAGCGAACAGG